CGGGCGUCUUAACAUGCAAGUCGAGCGAACAGAAAAGGAGCUUGCUCCUUUGACGUUAGCGGCGGACGGGUGAGUAACACGUGGGCAACCUACCCUAUAGUUUGGGAUAACUCCGGGAAACCGGGGCUAAUACCGAAUAAUCUCUUUUGCUUCAUGGUGAAAGACUGAAAGACGGUUUCGGCUGUCGCUAUAGGAUGGGCCCGCGGCGCAUUAGCUAGUUGGUGAGGUAACGGCUCACCAAGGCGACGAUGCGUAGCCGACCUGAGAGGGUGAUCGGCCACACUGGGACUGAGACACGGCCCAGACUCCUACGGGAGGCAGCAGUAGGGAAAUCUUCCACAAUGGGCGAAAGCCUGAUGGAGCAACGCCGCGUGAGUGAAGAAGGUUUUCGGAAUCGUGAAACUCUGUUGUAAGGGAAGAACAAGUACAGUAGUAACUGGCUGUACUUGACGGUACCCUUAUUAGAAAGCCACGGCUAA
rnacentral:rRNA from 1 species